rnacentral:rRNA from 1 species
CCUUAGUAACGGCGAGUGAGCGGGAAGAGCUCAAAUUUGAAAUCUGGUAGCCUUCGGCUGCCCGAGUUGUAAUCUAGAGAAGUGUUUUCCGUGCCGGCCCAUGUACAAGUCCCUUGGAACAGGGCGUCAUAGAGGGUGAGAAUCCCGUCCUUGACAUGGACCCCCGGUGCUUUGUGAUACACUUUCAACGAGUCGAGUUGUUUGGGAAUGCAGCUCAAAAUGGGUGGUGAAUUCCAUCUAAAGCUAAAUAUUGGCGAGAGACCGAUAGCGAACAAGUACCGUGAGGGAAAGAUGAAAAGCACUUUGGAAAGAGAGUUAAACAGUACGUGAAAUUGUUGAAAGGGAAACGAUUGAAGUCAGUCAUGCUCUUUGGAUUCAGCCGUUCUGCGGUGUAUUUCCAUUGAGUGGGGUCAACAUCAGUUUUGAUCGCUGGAUAAAGGCACUAGGAAGGUAGCACUCUCGGGUGAACUUAUAGCCUAGCGUCAUAUACAGUGAUUGGGACUGAGGAACGCAGCAUGCCUUUAUGGCCGGGAUUCGUCCACGUACAUGCUUAGGAUGUUGACAUAAUGGCUUUAAACGAC